UACGGGGGGAGCAAGCGUUGUUCGGAUUUACUGGGCGUAAAGGGCGCGUAGGCGGCGCAACAAGUCGAUUGUGAAAUCUCCGGGCUUAACUCGGAGCGGCCAAUCGAUACUGUCGUGCUAGAGUGCGGAAGGGGCUACUGGAAUUCUCGGUGUAGCGGUGAAAUGCGUAGAUAUCAGGAGGAACACCGGUGGCGAAGGCGGUUCUCUGGGCAUUACCUGACGCUGAGGAGCGAAAGUGUGGGGAGCGAACAGG
rnacentral:rRNA from 1 species